UAUAUAAAACAUAAAUAUAUAAAGAUUUACAUUCGUUUUUAUUAAAUUAACUUAUAUAAUUAUUUAUUUCAAUUUUUUACGUAGUGUUAUAAAUGCUUGGUGGUAUUUUACUGUCCUACAUACAUAUAAAGUGUGAAUAUGGAAGCGGGUCAUCAAUCUGCACGGGCCUACCGCGUCUAUAAUCCUGAAGCUUUGAUUGAGAAUCAGUAACAGUCCAUGACGAGAAGCGUCUUUUGGUUUCUUCAGAACGCGCUAGGAUUUUCGAACUUGUUUCUUACUAUUUACCUUUUUACUGGGGAAUUCCAUGGAUUUGGACGUAGCAUCAACAUCUUACAUUUUGCGAUACACAGAGGCCAGAAGACCGGGCGAAGAAGAAGAAUGAACACCGUCAAACGUGGCCAUAUUUUUGCUGCCUUUAAUAUAAUUGGACCAAAAAACAGCGCAAAACUUGUGUUUCAAAUGGAAUUUGGCUAAAAAAGACAUCGCAGAACUAUUGUUAUAAACUUAUUACGCUUGUUAAAAGGCAACAUUAAGACUGUACACUGCUGUAGCAGUGGGAGGCGCUAAGGAUUUUGCACCUUAGUCUGACAUCCUAGAAGAACCAUUCUUGCAUCAGAUUGGAUAUUGCAGCUGAGUCUGACAUCGUAGAAUGACCAUUCUUGCAUCAGAUUGU